rnacentral:tRNA from 1 species
AGGAUUAUAGUUUAAAUAAAACAUUUAAUUUGCAAUUAAAAAAAAUUGAAUAAAAUCAAUUUAUCUUA